AUGCGUCUUUUGGAAGAUCAGAUAAAGGCCUGUGCAUAUAUAUUUUCAGCAUCGCUAGAUCCAUCUGAAGAACUUGUCGUAACAAAUACAAUCAGAGCAACUAGAUCAGACUUUGCACAUUUCAUACCUGACAGACCCAUUACUGAUAAGAUUCUUGAAUUAGCGGCAUUGAAAUGCACUGAUGAUCAAUCUGAUGUAAGUUUCAAGACAACAUGGCAACUUCCACCGAGAUUUGUGGU